CGUGUAGGCGGCUAGGUAGGUCCGUUGUGAAAACUCGAGCUCAACCUCGAGACGUCGAUGGAAACCAUCUAGCUAGAGUCCGGAAGAGGAGAGUGGAAUUCCUGGUGUAGCGGUGAAAUGCGCAGAUAUCAGGAAGAACACCCGUGGCGAAGGCGGCUCUCUGGUACGUGACUGACGCUGAGACGCGAAAGCGUGGGAGCAAACA
rnacentral:rRNA from 1 species